GCCCAGACUCCUACGGGAGGCAGCAGUGAGGAAUAUUGGUCAAUGGGCGGGAGCCUGAACCAGCCAAGCCGCGUGAAGGAAGAAGGCGCCAGGCGUCGUAAACUUCUUUUGUCGGGGAACAAAGGGCGCCACGUGUGGCGUUGUGAGUGUACCCGAAGAAAAAGCAUCGGCUAACUCCGUGCCAGCAGCCGCGGUAAUACGGAGGAUGCGAGCGUUAUCCGGAUUUAUUGGGUUUAAAGGGUGCGUAGGCGGGGCCGGAAAGGAGGGGGAAAACGCCGGGGCCCCACCCCCGGGGAGCCGUUGAAACUGUCGGACUAGAGACGGCGAGAAGUACGCGGAAUGCGCGGUGUAGCGGUGAAAUGCAUAGAUAUCGCGCAGAACUCCGAUUGCGAAGGCAGCGUACCGGCGCCGGACUGACGCUGAGGCACGAAAGCGUGGGUAUCGAACAGGAUUAGAUACCCGAGUA
rnacentral:rRNA from 1 species